rnacentral:rRNA from 1 species
AUUGAACGCUGGCGGCAUGCCUUACACAUGCAAGUCGAACGGUAACGCGGGGCAACCUGGCGACGAGUGGCGAACGGGUGAGUAAUGCAUCGGAACGUGCCCAGUUGUGGGGGAUAACUGCUCGAAAGAGCAGCUAAUACCGCAUACGACCUGAGGGUGAAAGCGGGGGAUCGCAAGACCUCGCGCAAUUGGAGCGGCCGAUGUCGGAUUAGCUAGUUGGUGGGGUAAAGGCCCACCAAGGCGACGAUCCGUAGCUGGUCUGAGAGGACGACCAGCCACACUGGGACUGAGACACGGCCCAGACUCCUACGGGAGGCAGCAGUGGGGAAUUUUGGACAAUGGACACAAGUCUGAUCCAGCCAUGCCGCGUGCGGGAAGAAGGCCUUCGGGUUGUAAACCGCUUUUGUCAGGGAAGAAAUCUUCUGGGUUAAUACCUCGGGAGGAUGACGGUACCUGAAGAAUAAGCACCGGCUAACUACGUGCCAGCAGCCGCGGUAAAAC